GGGUUCUAAGGCCAGGUACCCUGAAAUACUGGGUAACUUGAAUUUGACUCCGUAGGCAGGAGGUGAUCUCCAAAAAGAGAAAUAUCUGACUGCUGGGAAAGGUAAACGCGUGUCACAUCAGACAUUUUUCCUGCCUUUCCGAAAUGGCAGCAAGAUGAAUCCUGCUUUGCAGAUAGUGGAGACACCAACGCUGAGUAAAAGUGGAGACACCAACGCUGAGUUAAAGUAGAGACAUCAACGCUGAGUGAAGGUAGAGACACCAACAGGGACUGAGUGAGGGUAGAGACACCAACAGGGACUGAGUGAGGGUAGAGACACCAACACUGAGUGAAGGUAGAGACACCAACGCUGAGUUAAAGUGGAGACACCAACACUGACUGAGUGAAGGUGGAGACACCAACGCUGAGUGAAUCCGCUGCCUACACCCAGGGAGGUACUGGGGUCUGGAGUUCACAACCCUUGGUGUCAACUGUCACCCAAACCCCGGUUGAUGGGAAGUGGAGACGCACUUCGUGGUAGGAACUCUUAAGAUUCCUGCUUCUGUCUCCUCCAGUAUCAUCCGCGUAUCCUCCAAAUCCUUUCAAAACAUUCCCCUGAAGAAACGGUAAGAGCCCCGCUUGCGGGGGACGCAGAGGCCGAGCAAGUGCUGGGCGGUGUUCGGUGUUCGCGUCCCGAUGCCCCCGGGACCCCAAAUGCGUCAGUACGUCCCAGGCAUUUAGCAGCCCGGGUGGAUGCACCGCAGCAGACCUGGUGGGUGGCUUCUGACCUUACGGCUCAGUUUCUUUUUCCUCCCGGGCCUCCCCGCAGCGUUCACGUUUCCCCCAGCCCGGAAGGCUGUAACCGGGGAACAACAGGCCGUACGUGUCGGGGCGACUCUUAGAGGUGAAGGACGGUCGUUUCCUGCCGGGCAGGGUCCUCCUUUUCUUGCUUCGCAAACAAAACCCGGAUGUGACUUGGGAACGGGGAGGGGAAAAAAAAAAAAAAAAAAAAAAGGAACAAAAAGUAAAA